UACGUAGGGGGCUAGCGUUGUCCGGAUUUAUUGGGCGUAAAGAGCUCGUAGGCGGUUUGUCGCGUCUGCCGUGAAAGUCCGGGGCUCAACUCCGGAUCUGCGGUGGGUACGGGCAGACUAGAGUGAUGUAGGGGAGACUGGAAUUCCUGGUGUAGCGGUGAAAUGCGCAGAUAUCAGGAGGAACACCGAUGGCGAAGGCAGGUCUCUGGGCAUUAACUGACGCUGAGGAGCGAAAGCAUGGGGAGCAAACAGG
rnacentral:rRNA from 1 species